UGCCAGAGACGGUCCUGCUGCGCGGGUGCCGUGUUCUCUCCUCCGGGGGACGGGGAAUUGCUCUUUCCGCCUCCAGCAGUCUCAGGGCGCAGGAACCCCGCCGUCUCCAGCGGCCUCGGCCGGGCGCUGCCAGGGGCAAGGGACCGCCGGGAGAGAGACGCGGGGAGGGACCGCGCCGCAGGUUCCUGGUGAAGGGUUUCUUGGCCCUCCCGCCUCUUCGGAUGGCGGGGAAGCGUCUCUCUCCCUCCUGUCCCCACCCUCCAGCUCCAAACACAUUCCUAUUCAUGCCACUUCCUCUCUGGGAUUGUGAGAAAAAUUGACGAGGCGAUGUUUGUGCAAUCAGACAAUCAGAGCGCCUGAGAAAUUCUCUUCAGACCAGUUUUUCUCUCCUUACAAAGCGUCUGUUCGUUCAUAGGCAGAGCAUUGCGACGUCUUUAUAUCUAAAGGGCAGAAGGCUUGAUCAUCGCUUAGCUAAGGGGCUGGGGACAUACAGCAAACAUUUCUCUAAAGGACUCGGCGCUGUUUACUGGUCUUACAUUUCUAGUGUUGCAUUCCCUGACUAGCCAGCUUUCCUCUCUCUCAAUACCAUUUCCAAGCUACCUCUUUUUACCGGGGAAAGCAAUUGAACUAAUUUUACUACUCUAAAAACAUCGUGCAGCCAAGUAGAGUUACAAAUGAAUGAGCUUAUUAUAAGGUUUCGGGCAAAGAGAUGGGGAGGGAAGUUAUAAACAGAAAGCUGCGUGUGUAUGUGUGUAAAAUUAUAGGGAGACGCUAAUAUAUGUCUGUUGUACACAACAUUCCAUUUCUGUUGAGGCAACUGAAAGAAAUCACAAAGAUGCUCAAACACAGUAAGUAGCCUAUAUGAACUUUUUAAAAAAGCUGGUGAAGUUUACCCGUAGCUAUUAUAAAAAAAAAAAAAAAAAAAGUUUCUCAGAGGUAACAUAGGUCAUCAGGUUAAUUUCUUCUGAAUAUUUUCUAUGAUGGAGAAGAUUCUGUGUGGGAUUCUAGACCCACAGCUAUAAAGGCACAGGAAGUAAAAGAAGUAACCAGCAACUUUCUCCUGGACUUGUGGCUCUGCAGUCAACCCACAUUCGGGUCUGCUCUACCCAGAUUUAUCAUCUGCUUUGUUCCUUCCGUUUAAGGUUUUCGCCAAGAGCCUGAGGUGGGAUUUUCCCAAAGAGUUCCAUUCCUGAAAGUCAUCAUCAGGAGAGGGCAGGCCCUGAGGAGUGAAAGGAAAGGAUCUAGUGGCAGAUUAUGUGAAAUGGGAUGGGGCUGGAGUCCUUUCACAGUUAGAGGGGGCAAGGCUGAAACACGUCUGCCCCAUGGAAGAGGCCAGCUGUCCUCAAGGACCUGGCUCUACCAGUAUUUUGAAAAUUGUGCCUGUGAUCCAGAAGUAUGGCGAAGACUGGGAAAUUCCAAGUAAUUCCAACUCCUUUGAGUCUUUGGACAAUGAAUUCAGUCAUUCAAGAGCAACUUCAAAGAAGUUAUUAAAAUGCGCUAAGUUCUUUCUGAGAA